rnacentral:rRNA from 1 species
AUUGAACGCUGGCGGCAGGCCUAACACAUGCAAGUCGAACGGAAGCACAGAGGAGCUUGCUCCUCGGGUGACGAGUGGCGGACGGGUGAGUAAUGUCUGGGGAUCUGCCCGAUAGAGGGGGAUAACCACUGGAAACGGUGGCUAAUACCGCAUAACGUCGCAAGACCAAAGAGGGGGACCUUCGGGCCUCUCACUAUCGGAUGAACCCAGAUGGGAUUAGCUAGUAGGCGGGGUAACGGCCCACCUAGGCGACGAUCCCUAGCUGGUCUGAGAGGAUGACCAGCCACACUGGAACUGAGACACGGUCCAGACUCCUACGGGAGGCAGCAGUGGGGAAUAUUGCACAAUGGGCGCAAGCCUGAUGCAGCCAUGCCGCGUGUAUGAAGAAGGCCUUCGGGUUGUAAAGUACUUUCAGCGGGGAGGAAGGCGAUGUGGUUAAUAACCGCAUUGAUUGACGUUACCCGCAGAAGAAGCACCGGCUAACUCCGUGCCAGCCGCCGCUGUAA